GAUGAACGUUGGCGGCGUGCCUAAUACAUGCAAGUCGAACGGAGAUUGUAGCAAUACGGUCUCAGUGGCGAACGGGUGAGUAACGCGUUGGUGACCUGCCCCGAAGUGUGGAAUAACAGAUCGAAAGAGCUGCUAAUACCGCAUAAUAUCCAGAGGACUAGAUGCCUUUGGAUUAAAGGAUUUAUUCGCUUCGGGAGGGGCCUGCGUCCCAUCAGCUAGUUGGUAAGGUAAAGGCUUACCAAGGCUAUGACGGGUAGGGGACCUGAGAGGGUGGCCCCCCACAAUGGAACUGAAACACGGUCCAUACACCUACGGGUGGGCAGCAGUAGGGAAUAUUAGUAAUGGGCGAAAGCCUGAACUAGCAACGCCGCGUGUGCGAAGAAGGCCUCGGUUGUAAGUGCUUUUGUAAGGAGUGAGGAAGGACAGUACCGUUCAGAAUAAGCCUCGGCUAACUAACGUGCCAGCAGCCGCGGUAAACUAAGUCUACG
rnacentral:rRNA from 1 species